CUUAACAUGAUGGUGUCCAGUU
rnacentral:piRNA from 1 species